GAUCGAGAGUGCGAGGAAUACAAUACCGCAAGGGAAUAACUCCGCUAGAGUUUCGACUAGUUUUGAGCUCUCGAUCACCCUAAU
rnacentral:ncRNA from 14 species